CAAAUUAGAGCUUGAGUUUUAAGUUUUUCAUUUACAUUGAAAUGAUAUUAUAAUAUAAUUAAUUUGA
rnacentral:tRNA from 1 species